rnacentral:rRNA from 1 species
GAUGAACGCUGGCGGCGUGCCUAAUACAUGCAAGUCGAGCGAACAGACGAGGAGCUUGCUCCUCUGACGUUAGCGGCGGACGGGUGAGUAACACGUGGAUAACCUACCUAUAAGACUGGGAUAACUUCGGGAAACCGGAGCUAAUACCGGAUAAUAUAUUGAACCGCAUGGUUCAAUAGUGAAAGACGGUUUUGCUGUCACUUAUAGAUGGAUCCGCGCCGCAUUAGCUAGUUGGUAAGGUAACGGCUUACCAAGGCAACGAUGCGUAGCCGACCUGAGAGGGCGAUCGGCCACACUGGAACUGGGACAAGGUCCAGACUCAUACGGGAGGCAGCAGUAGGGAAUCUUCCACAAUGGGCGAAAGACUGACGGAGCAACGCCGCGUGAGUGAUGAAGGUCUUCGGAUCGUAAAACUCUGUUAUGAGGGAAGAACAAAUGUGUAAGUAACUAUGCACGUCUUGACGGUACCUAAUCAGAAAGCCACGGCUAACUACGUG